rnacentral:rRNA from 1 species
GUCGUACGAGAGUUUUUACUCUAGUGGCGGACGGGUGAGUAACACGUGAGAAUUUACCUUUAGGAGGGGGAUAACAGCGUAUCAAUAGAUAUUACGGAAACGGCUGCUAAUACCCCAUAUGCUUUUGAGUGAAAUAGAUUUAUCUGCCUAAAGAGAAGCUCGCGGCUGAUUAGCUUGUUGGUAAGGUAAUGGCUUACCAAGGCGACGAUCAGUAUCUGGUUUGAGAGGACGAUCAGACACACUGGAACUGAGACACGGUCCAGACUCCUACGGGAGGCAGCAGUGGGGAAUUUUCCGCAAUGGGCGAAAGCCUGACGGAGCAAUACCGCGUGAGGGAAGACGGCCUAUGGGUUGUAAACCUCUUUUUUCAGGGAGGAAUUCAAUGACGUGUACCUGAGGAAUAAGCAUCGGCUAACUCCGUG